UCCUUCUUGCUAAAGCACUCUGCUAAAAUUGUGAGAUCCAAGCCUUUUGGCUUGGUUCCUGCGAUAAUGAAAGUCAGAGUACACCCAGGAAGGAGAACAACUGCACAGUAUCGGGAAUGAGACCAGGGUGGACCUCUUUCUUAAUGUCCAGUGUCCUUCGUCUCAAGAUUCUGUGCAACAUUC